rnacentral:rRNA from 1 species
UGAGUCCGCGUCUCAUUAGCUAGUUGGUGAGAUAACAGCCCACCAAGGCAACGAUGGGUAGCCGAGCUGAGAGGUUGAUCGGCCACACUGGAACUGAGACACGGUCCAGACACCUACGGGUGGCAGCAGUAGGGAAUAUUGCGCAAUGAGCGAAAGCUUGACGCAGCCAUGCCGCGUGGAUGAUGAAGGCCUUCGGGUCGUAAAGUCCUUUUCUGAGGGAAGAAUAGGCGGAGGAGUGGAAAGCCUCCGCUCUGACGGUACCUCAGGAAUAAGCAACGGCUAACUCCGUGCCAGCAGCCGCGGUAAU